CUUCACAGUCCCAGCCGAGAAGACGGUUGCCUUGGUUGGGGGCUCAGGUCCUGCGUAAUUUAAUCAAUCUUAUUAAAGUGGUUUUCAUACUAGAACAAGCGACAGUCUUCGUCAGUCAAUUGCUAUUGUUCCACAGGAACCUGUACUGUUUAACAACAUCAUAUAUUAUAACUUGCAUUAUGGCAACUUUCAAAAAAACGAAGAUGAGGUGCAUCAAGCGGC